rnacentral:rRNA from 1 species
UACGUAGGGUGCAGGCGUUAAUCGGAAUUACUGGGCGUAAAGAGCGCGCAGGCGGUCGUUCAAGUCGAGUGUGAAAGCCCCCGGCUCAACUGGGGAGGGGCACUCGAUACUGAUCGACUCGAAGGCAGGAGAGGGUAGUGGAAUUCCCGGUGUAGUGGUGAAAUGCGUAGAUAUCGGGAGGAACACCAGUGGCGAAGGCGACUACCUGGCCUGUUCUUGACGCUGAGGCGCGAAAGCUAGGGGAGUAAACGGG